rnacentral:rRNA from 1 species
AACGAACGCUGGCGGCAGGCCUAACACAUGCAAGUCGAGCGCUACCUUCGGGUGGAGCGGCGGACGGGUUAGUAACGCGUGGGAAUAUACCCUUCACUAUGGAAUAGCCUCGGGAAACUGAGAGUAAUACCAUAUACGCCCUUCGGGGGAAAGAUUUAUCGGUGAAGGAUUAGCCCGCGUAAGAUUAGAUAGUUGGUGGGGUAAUGGCCUACCAAGUCUACGAUCUUUAGCUGGUUUUAGAGGAUGAUCAGCAACACUGGGACUGAGACACGGCCCAGACUCCUACGGGAGGCAGCAGUGGGGAAUCUUAGACAAUGGGCGCAAGCCUGAUCUAGCCAUGCCGCGUGAGUGAUGAAGGUCUUAGGAUCGUAAAGCUCUUUCGCUAGGGAUGAUAAUGACAGUACCUAGUAAAGAAGCCCCGGCUAACUCCGUGCCAGCAGCCGCGGUAAUACGGAGGGGGCUAGCGUUGUUCGGAAUUACUGGGCGUAAAGCGUACGUAGGCGGAUCAGAAAGUAUGGGGUGAAAUCCCAGGGCUUAACCCUGGAACUGCCUCAUAAACUCCUGGUCUUGAGUUCGAGAGAGGUGAGUGGAAUUCCAAGUGUAGAGGUAAAAUUCGUA